rnacentral:tRNA from 1 species
GCCUGGGUGGCUCAGUCGGUUGAGUGUCUGACUUCAGCUCAGGUCAUAUUCCCACCAUUUGUGGGUUCAAACCCUGCAUGGGGCU